rnacentral:rRNA from 1 species
CCGGCGACCGGCGCACGGGUGAGUAACACGUAUGCAACCUGGCCGCCACUGGGGGAUAACCCGCGGAAACGCGGCCUAAUACCCCGUGACGCACCGAGGGCAUCCUCCGGUGGCCAAAGGAGCGAUCCGGUGGCGGAUGGGCAUGCGGCGCAUUAGCUAGACGGCGGGGUGACGGCCCACCGUGGCGACGAUGCGUAGGGGUUCUGAGAGGAAGGCCCCCCACACUGGGACUGAGACACGGCCCAGACUCCUACGGAAGGCAGCAG